rnacentral:rRNA from 1 species
UGGGGAAUAUUGCACAAUGGGCGCAAGCCUGAUGCAGCCAUGCCGCGUGUGUGAAGAAGGCCUUCGGGUUGUAAAGCACUUUCAGCGAGGAGGAAGGUGGUGAGCUUAAUACGCUCAUCAAUUGACGUUACUCGCAGAAGAAGCACCGGCUAACUCCGUGCCAGCAGCCGCGGUAAUACGGAGGGUGCAAGCGUUAAUCGGAAUUACUGGGCGUAAAGCGCACGCAGGCGGUUUGUUAAGUCAGAUGUGAAAUCCCCCGGGCUCAACCUGGGAACUGCAUUUGAAACUGGCAAGCUAGAGUCUCGUAGAGGGGGGUAGAAUUCCAGGUGUAGCGGUGAAAUGCGUAGAGAUCUGGAGGAAUACCGGUGGCGAAGGCGGCCCCCUGGACGAAGACUGACGCUCAGGUGCGAAAGCGUGGGGAGCAAACAGGAUUAGAUACCCCUGGUAGUCCACGCUGUAAACGAUGUCGAUUUUGGAGGUUGUGCCCUUGAGGCGUGGCUUCCGGAGCUAACGCGUUAAAUCGACCGCCU